UCCUUCGGUUCAUAAGUGUGAUGAUUGGGUAGUUCACGCUAUUGUGAGAUGUGCCUUCCUCUACACCUUGUUACGCCAUCA
rnacentral:snoRNA from 1 species